CCUACGGGAGGCAGCAGUGAGGAAUAUUGGUCAAUGGACGGAAGUCUGAACCAGCCAUGCCGCGUGCAGGAUGACGGCUCUAUGUGUUGUAAACUUCUUUUGUACGAGAAUAAUAGCUCUUACGUGUAGGGAGUUGAAUGUAUCUGACGAAUAAGCAUCGGCUAACUCCGUGCCCGCAGCCGCGGUAAUACGGAGGAUGCGAGCGUUAUCCGGAUUUAUUGGGUUUAAAGGGUGCGUAGGCUGUCUGAUAAGUUAGAGGUCAAAUGUCGGGGCUUAACCCCGUGCCUGCCUCUGAUACUGUCAGACUCGAGUGCGGAUGAAGAAGGCGGAAUGAGUAGUGUAGCGGUGAAAUGCAUAGAUAUUACUCAGAACACCGAUUGCGCAGGCAGCUUGCUAAUCCGAAUCUGACGCUGAUGCACGAAAGCGUGGGUAGCGAACAGGAUUAGAUACCCGGGUAGUC
rnacentral:rRNA from 1 species